UACAGAGGGUACAAGCGUUGUUCGGAAUCAUUGGGCGUAAAGGGCGCGUAGGCGGUCGUGACAAGUCACUUGUGAAAUCUCCGGGCUUAACUCGGAACGGUCAAGUGAUACUGUCGGACUAGAGUACAGAAGGGGCAACUGGAAUUCUCGGUGUAGCGGUGAAAUGCGUAGAUAUCGAGAGGAACACCUGGCGGCGAAGGCGGGUUGCUGGGCUGAUACUGACGCUGAGGCGCGAAAGCCAGGGGAGCGAACAGG
rnacentral:rRNA from 1 species